GGCCGACUAGCUCAGCUGGUUAGAGCGUCGUGCUAAUAUCUGGAUGUUGCGAGUGUGAUUGCGGUCUGCUGUUACAUUUGUGAUGUUCUGUUACGCGAAGGUCUUGGGUUCGAUCCCCACGUUGGCCA